UCCUCUCUCCGUUUUUUUUUAUUUAAAUUUUUUCAGUUGUGAGUUUUGUAACAUGCAUGUUAUUAUUUAUGAACCCGUUACAUGACUCGAAACCCGCACGAUAAAAGACGACCCGAACCCGACACAAUACGUUUAUUAAAUGGGUUGGGUACGGGUCGAGCAUUCUUGACACGUUUAUUAUCCCGACACGACACGACCCAUUGCCAGCCCUACUUGGAGAGAAGGAGAAGGAAAUUCUAGAAAAAAUUCCACUACCGAGGCGUAAGAAGAGAAGAUUCAUUGGUUUGUUGAAGUAAGUAAAUGAGGAGCAAAAUGGAUUUUCCCAUGGAGAAUUGUGCACAGCAUAUGGACUUGAGGUGUGGAUUUUAUUAUUUUUCAUUUGCCUCUAUGCUAGUUUCCUUCAACUACAAGACACCCAUUUAAAUACUUGCCUAAGAACAGGGCCUUAGGUUAGUUUAUAAGGUUGACAAACUAAAACAACAGAAAUCUAGGGCUCAAGUUUUGUUCUUUUUCUUGAUCUUAAUCUCAAAUGCUAUAUAAAUAGGGCUAUAGUGAAUUAAAACUUACAAUUACAUGCUACUUGUUAAAGAAAUUUCUAUCAUGUAACUUGGAGUAAGCAAUGGAAACUGAACUGGCUCAGCCACUUCUCCUAGGUAUCUAGUUCUUCAGCCAUUAAAUGAAAUAUGUACUGCAUGGUACAGAAUCUCUUGUUAUGGUUUAAAUUGGAAGGGCAAAAAACUCCUUUUCGGUCAUUUUAAACCUUCAUCUUUGUUUUUUUUUUUUUUUUUUUUUUUGGGUUUAAGCUUGGGAGGUGGUGAUAGCAACACCCUCAUCUUGCUAGCAAAGAGAAGGAACAAAAGGAAGGGCACCAAUCAGGAGAAAGUAAAAGAAACACCGAAUGUAAAUUUCAGCAGGACGAUUAAAUUAUCAAAUUCUCCUACACUGAGGUCUCUAAUUGCCCCAACUAUAGUGCGUUUAUCAAGGCCUGAGGAAGAUGAAAAUGCAAGGAAGGAUCUUCCCAAUAGUAAUGGUGGAGCAGGGGAUAAUGGAGGCUGUUAAUGACCAUUCCACUGUUAUUAUAUGUGGAGAUACUGGGUGUGGUAAAACCACCCAAGUUCCACAGUUUCUUUUUUAAGCCGGCUUUGGUUCAAGCUUCUCUUGAGUCUGAAGUGGUAUAAUUGGUGUUACUCAACCUCGUCGUGUGGCAGUCCUUGCGACUGCUAAGCGAGUGGCAUAUGAGCUUGGUCUACAUUUAGGUAGAGAGGUCAGGUUUCAAGUUAGGUAUGGCAAAAGGGUCGGUGAAAGUUGCUCCAUCAAGUUCAUGACAGAUGGUAUAUUACCACGGGAACAUCAGGUUCUUUAACCAACCGAUCUUGUUAAUCUAUCAUAAUUUGAGCAACUAUGCAUCAAAUAAUACGUUUCUCUAUAUGGGUUUCUAUUAAGGUUGGGUUCUGUUUUCAUAGUGAUACAUAUACGGUUUGGACGAUUGAACCAAUGAUUAGAACCAUUCAGUUUUUAGCUUCUCAGCUAAAUCAGAAAUUGUUUAGCCAUUUGAUUAUCCUUGACAACAUCUGAUCUGAAUUUUUUUUAGUCCGUAUAAUCCUUGAAGAAUGACCUAAAAUAUAGAUGGUUCCGAUCAUUGUAAAAUAUAUCCUUGGGUAGCCCUAGGAAGGACGUGCACUUUUCUUACAACAAUGACAUCCUUGACAUAGAAAAAUUCAAUUUAUAUAUGUAUGGGUUAGGAUCCUGGGACAAACUAUUUUACGCAUAAUUACGACAUUUUUCUACAAUUUGGGAAAUGUUUUACAUGAAUGGUUUUGAAGGGAACCUAUAAAAUAGAUGGUUUUAUAUAAUGGGAACACAUUGUGGGUUGAGCCAAACAGCAUGGUUCACUUUUCUUAAAAAGAAAAUCCCUUUUAAGUUUUGACUAUUUGUA